CCAUGUUUGAUCCAAACUUAUGUAUUGACAUAUCAUUUGACAUUUUUAUUCUGUGAAAUCUUUGAUGAAAGGUGUUUUAACUGUUUACAGAAUUUGACGGAGCGUUAAGUAGUUUGUGCAAUAUAUGUUUAUUAAAGCCUUAACAAGAGUAGUUAUAUAGGUAUACUUUGUGAUGUGAUCUCUUUGAAAAGAGAAAAAAGAAUAUUAUGCAUAUUAUGAAAGGCUAAAUCAUGGAGAAAUCAUGUUGGAAUACUAUCUUUUAAUUUGCCUGUGGACGCGAUUUUCAAUUCUAAUAACGUCAGUGAGCUCUUGCAGCGUCAUGAAAUAAGGCAUGUUAAGCCAUGAGACAAGAGAGGAUCUCAAGUACUGGAUUAAAAAAAAAAAGUUUUUAGUGGAUAUUUUAAAAUGUCACAAAUUGACGUUGCCGCUGUACACUUGCCAAAUAAUCAGAAUGGUGCAUCAGAAGAUAACAAUCAUAAUUUCACGGGUUCGAUUGGUCCAUCUGUCAACAAUAAUAACAUGAACAUCGGCAGGAAUAAUAACAAUUCAAAUCCUCUUUUUCGUAUGCGCGACAGACUAUUUCAUGCACUGUUUAUUAAAGCUUCCUUAGCAUAUGCUAGAACAUUUCCAAGGCCUGUUAGACGGUUCAUUGAAUUUCUGAUUUUAAUGAAGGCAAUAAUGGCGUUUUUUGUGCUAGCAUACAUUCAUAUAGUGUUCUCACGAACACCGACAAAUUGUUUAGAGCAUGUAAAAGAUGAUUGGCCUCGAGAUGGGAUACUUAGAGUAGAGAUUUUAAGAAAUGGCGGAGAUGAUUACAGUAUAGAGAAGAGUUAUGCUAAGGAAGAGAAACUCCGACAAGAUAAAGUAGAAGACUUAACUAAUGUCCUUGGAAUAUUGACCAGAGAUGGCUUUAUAAAUAUUGAACCAUCGGCUGCAGAUGAAGAUCGAGAGAUUCUUAAAGUGAACAAUAAAGCUAAUCACCAAAAUUUAAAUCUGGCUGAUGAAAAAAUUUCCGCCAUUCGAAGUACUAUUAUUACUGGGGAAGAGGAAAGCAAUCAUUUUAACGUGACAAACUCUACAUUUAGUCCCAUUGUAUCAACUGACCUCUGGGCUGACCUAAACGCAGGAAAGAGUAUGGUAUUUCAGCAUGGAGUAUCCCCAGUCGAUUUUCAAACUAAUAUUACGAAACCAGAAGAUACGCAAUAUUUAAUUCCAGAUAGCUCAACCCUUCCUUUAAAAAAUUCAGUUUUUGAAAUUGAAAGGAUCGCAAAAUCAGUGGUAUUUUUAGAUGAUGAGUACAUCGUUGAAUAUUCUUUGGAAUACGGAUUUUUGCGAUUAUCGCCUGCAGCACGACAGAGACUUAACAUUCCAGUGAAGAUAAUCACUUUGAACCCGCUAAACGAUCAAUGUUUCGGUGAUGCUUUUUCUCGAUUUAUACUGGAUGAAUUCUUAGGAUAUGAUGACCUACUAAUGGCUAGUAUAAAGACUUUAGCUGAACAUGAAGAUAACAAAGGUUUUUUAAGGAACGUUGUUACUGGAGAACAUUACCGCUUUGUAAGCAUGUGGAUGGCUAGAACUUCUUACGUAGCUGCAUUUUUCAUCAUGAUAGUAUUUACGGUGUCAGUUUCCAUGCUACUCCGGUAUUCACAUCACCAGAUCUUCAUCUUUAUUGUAGAUCUCCUACAGAUGCUGGAAUUCAACGUUACUGUGUCUUUUCCAGCCGCAUCACUCCUCACAGUAAUUUUAGCCCUUGUUGGAAUGGAGGCAAUAAUGUCAGAGUUUUUCAAUGACACUACAACAGCAUUCUAUAUUAUCGUCAUUGUGUGGAUCUGCGACCAAUAUGAUGCAAUUUGUUGCCACACUCCUAUCACAAAGAGACAUUGGCUUCGAUUUUUUUACCUAUAUCAUUUUUCGUUUUAUGCCUACCAUUAUCGGUUUAAUGGGCAGUAUAGCAGUUUGGCUUUAGUAACUUCAUGGCUUUUUAUACAGCAUUCUAUGUUGUACUUCUUCCAUCAUUAUGAAUUGCCUGUAAUACUGGAGCAGGCUCAGCUGCAGCAUUUGUUCUAUGGUAAUCAUGCACCACCAACUCAACCACCAACAUCCAGCACCAUUCAUCGCACUCCGAGAUCUUCACCAACAUCUAUUACAUCUAUGAAUUCUAAUUCAUCAUUUUCAACAACUGAACAGACACAACAAAAUUACAUUACUGAACUAUCGUUACUUGAUUCCGACCUCAACAACUUGCAAGGAAAUCACAGGCGAAAUAUCCAAAAUCGAUCAUCUGAAGCCAUCAUACGCGACCGCUCCGAAGAAGAGUCAGAGCUUCAAGUAGGUGAAAUUAGCAGGACAGCGUCAAGUGAAAGUUACCCUAUACAAGAAAUAUAUAAUAUUACUACUUCGGAGACAAGUGUUAUUGAAGUAUCCUCAACUACAGAAACCUCUCCGCCGGAAGGAUUUGAGAUGAUAGAGUCAUCAGGAACGGCAUAAAUCAAAGAAUUAUCGCGUACCUUUUACGAAAAAUGAUAAAUAUUUCUUUAUUGCUUCUUGCUGCAACCAUUUAAAUAAUCCCUGAAAACGUUCUUUUCGCAGCGAUACUUAGUAUUGUUGGAUUUCCGAGAGAGCGAAAACAUUUGAGUUUUGAAUUACUCAAAUAGCCAUUAAUUAAGAUAGAGCCUUAAUGAACUUGACAAUUUACAAUAGACGGUGGCUUAAUCAAAUUCGAGUAAAGAACUUCAGAAUUAUGCAAAAUUUACUUCAGUGAUUUUACAUAUAAAAGGGUGUUGAUAUGAAUUUUUCAAUUAUGCUAUUUAAAACUAUGGAAACUUAAUAUUCAACUGUGUACUAAACGAAGGCUUGGGAAAAUAAUAAUAACAUAAUUUGACUGAAGUCUUCGACCAAAAAAAAAGACAAAACAGCAUCAGGACUCACGAGAUGUAGAAGAUAAACCAUCAAAGCGAUGAAUUUCACGGAAAGUAACGACUGUAAGACUGCUAUUAUAAAAAUUACUACAAUAUUGCGGAUGAUUCUUCGCGUAGCGCAAAAUUUUGUAGAGCAUUGACAUUUUUUAAACAAUUUUUUCAUCAUCC